rnacentral:lncRNA from 1 species
CAACAACAUUGAAGUUCAGAGGAGUUCACGCUGGCUUACCCUGGCUAAGCACAUGGUUCAGCUGAGGUAGAGAUGGCCUGAGGUCUUCUAGACAAAAAGUGAAGGAAACAGUUCUGCUCCAAGAAGAAACUCAAGAAUAAGAGAAGAAUUACUAAGAACUCAGUAUUUUCUUCUAGCUGCUGGCUCUCCUACCACACCAAUGUCCUGUUGUAUUAAGAGGCUACACAUCUGUGCCUGUCUAACACACCUGCUAGACCUCUUGAGAGAUAUGAUUAUAUUAAUUACAAUAUAUUGAUUGAUUUCUACUUUACACGGACUGCCUGUAUUUAAUUUAAAUAUACAAUGAAGCAUAUUGAGGACACAAUUUGGAUUGUUACUGUGAUAAAUAAUUGCUAAUUGUGUCAUGAUAGAUCACCUAU